rnacentral:sRNA from 2 species
GUCCCUGAUAAAGAAGGGACCUGGUUUAGCGACCUGAUAUGCAAAAAAGCGCACAGACCGCGCAAUGCGGUUUUUUU